rnacentral:rRNA from 1 species
ACGGGAGGCAGCAGUGGGGAAUAUUGCACAAUGGAGGAAACUCUGAUGCAGCGACGCCGCGUGAGUGAAGUAGUAUUUCGGUAUGUAAAGCUCUAUCAGCAGGAAAGAAAAUGACGGUACCUGACUAAGAAGCCCCGGCUAACUACGUGCCAGCAGCCGCGGUAAUACGUAGGGGGCAAGCGUUAUCCGGAUUUACUGGGUGUAAAGGGAGCGUAGACGGUAUUGCAAGUCUGAAGUGAAAACCCGGGGCUCAACUCCGGGAUUGCUUUGGAAACUGUAGUACUAGAGUGCAGGAGAGGUAAGUGGAAUUCCUAGUGUAGCGGUGAAAUGCGUAGAUAUUAGGAGGAACACCAGUGGCGAAGGCGGCUUACUGGACUGUAACUGACGUUGAGGCUCGAAAGCGUGGGGAGCAAACAGGAUUAGAUACCCUGGUA